UACAGCAGUGGUAACACUUUGUAGUUGGCCUCAUCAGAUCUCAGAAGCUAAGCAAUAUUGAGCCCUGCCAGUACUGGGAUGGAAGCACCUCUAAGGAUAAACAGGUCACUGCUGUCA
rnacentral:rRNA from 1 species